rnacentral:tRNA from 1 species
GCUUUAGCUCAGCUGGUAGAGCAUCGCAUUCGUAAUGCGGGGGUCACAGGUUCGAGUCCUGUAAGC